UCCCGCCUCCCCCACCCCCAUUUACAGGAAACAAUUCUUCAACAUUUAGUAUACGGUUGUGUUCAGAAUGUCGAUGAGGAUUUUGUGCUGUUUCUUUCAGCUGGCCUUCGCACUUCAUACAGCUGGGUUUCUUAAGUCCUCUGUGUUCAGACCAACUGGAGGAUCUGUCACUCUGGAGUUCCAGCAACACCAGCAGCCGGAGAAGGAGCAGAUAGAUAUUGUUUUUUGGGAAUAUGGCCCAAAUACAACAUUGAAAUAUGUACCCCACAAAGACACUGUUACAGUAUUCACCCAUAAAGGCAGAGUGGAGUUUAAUAAGGAGACCUUCUCUAUGGAGCUGAAGAACCUGCAGAAGAGUGACAGUGGACUCUACAGAGGAAAGAUCAGUGCUGGGACGGAAGUUAUAGUUGAGCACACACUCUCUGUGCUGGAUCCAGUGGAGAUCCCCGUCCUGUCUGUUGUCUCUAACUGGUCCAGCAGUGACUCAUGUAAUGUGACAGUGACCUGUAGAGGUCGUGACCACUCUCUGAACUCCACCUGUGAUAUCAGAACCUGCUCUAUAAAGGAAGAGAACUCCAUAGACUCCACCCUCUCACUCUCUGUCAGAGAUGCUCUUAUCAGCUGUAACUAUAGCAACACAGUGAGCUGGAGAACUGACAAGACACAGAUUGAACUACUGUGUCCUUUUUAUGAAGAACAAACUGUGGCUCAUUCAGAAAACUCAAACAUGGUUAUUGGGAUUGUUGUACCUGGUGCACUCAUCUGUGUUCUUUCUAUGGCUGUAUGGAGGUGGAGAAAAUCAAGUACGUGCAGGCAGAUAGAAGCCUCACAAACCACGUAUGCCACGGUUGAGCGUCAACAAAAAACACCCAGUGGAGGAGAAGCAGCACAUCAGGGUUCUCCUCUGACCUCAAAGCCAUUGCCCAACACACUCUACAGCACUGUAGUGCACCCCCUUAAGCCUGUCUCAGCUGGUGAGAACCAAGAGAAAUUUCCAGUUCAAGAGUCUGAUGUCACCAUCUACAGUACAGCACAGUGAAUCAGACUAAUGCUGUGGUUAGGGAGACAUAACUUCUCAGUGUCAUAAAAACUGUAGUGUGUAGUAAACCCCAUCUACAGACAAGUGGAACAUUUGGCCACACACAGCUUGAGCGGAUUACACCAAUAGAGCAUACUUAUCCAAUAAAGCCUUCAUUUGGGAAUUAACUCUUUUAAAUGAAGCUCAUAACGGACAUGAAUUCUCAGGGAACAUAGAACUACAGUAUGUCUUAGAGCAACACACGAUUGAUAUAAUAUUGAUAAUUGAUAUAAUUUUAAUUUCUUGUGUGAUCUGCCUUUUCUAUGUGUGUUCAUCUCUGAACUAAUUGUGUCUUGUCAAAUGAGGAAGGUAUGUGCCCACUGUGUGUGUGUGCUUUGAAGGUACAGUCAGCAAUUACGCAGGAAGUCUUGUUUUUUAUGUUUAUAUUUAAAUUUGUUAGCAGACUGUUUCGUACAAAACAACGUACAUUAUAUUUUAACCAAGGAUCACCAGAGAGUUAGCUCACCCCUUCCUUCGGUACUCCACACAGGGUUUCGUUUUUUUUUGUUAGGGUGUUACGGCUGUAUGUGUUGUAUGAUGUAUGUUUGUUCCAGUGCUGUUUGUCCCUGUUUUCUCCCCUCCUCUCUACCUCUGCUCCGGUGCUCUGCUUGUAACGACCUUGAUUGGCAGCACCUGGCUUGGUGAUUCAUUGGGAGUUAAAGGCUCCAGGAUCCAGUUCCCGAAGAGAGGCUUUUGGUGUGGGGACUGCUGGCUGUCUUGCUGUCUCUCAGCCUGGGAUAUUGUCUCGUCUUUUGAUUUGGACUUUGUGUCAUGUCUAUGUAGUGUUUUGUUAUGGUGUAUCUUGAUGUAAUAAAUCCCACUGGUUGGGUACAUUUUAAAAGGUGUUCUUGUUAUUUAUUAGGAUUUGGGGUCAGUGGUGGGUUUUUGUUCACCGCUAAAGGGCAACGUAAAGGUGGGGUGUAACAUUGGGGGACAGGCUGCCCCCACUUUGUUCCCAGUUUUUGGAACCUGCCUACAGAGACUGGGUUGUUUUUACAGUGUAGGCCUACUCAUGGAAUGGGCAGCUAGCGGAUCAUGAGGAGAUAAUUGCUAAGCGUACAAUUGCUACAACUUUAACCAAAAGAAAAUAAUUAAUGUGGAGUUUAUUGUUUAUUUUAUAUUUUCCAUGCACCAAUAAGUGAAAAGUCUGUAGUCUGUAGUUUCAUUGCUUCUAAGCAUAAUUCUAAUUGCAGAUGGCUUGCCUUAUCUUAUUAACGUUAAAUCUGCUUGCCAUGGAUGCACACACUGCCAGGUCAUGGAGCAACGGCAAGUAGCCUAUCGAACGUUCCUCAAGUUUAUCCAGUGUGUUAUCAAAUGCUUCAUUAAAUUGUACGAGUUCCCCCUUAACACACAAUGUUACUUAUACCGGUGUUGGAGUGUUUCGAUUCACAGUUCUAGGCCUGG